rnacentral:rRNA from 1 species
UACAGAGGUCCCGAGCGUUGUUCGGAUUCACUGGGCGUAAAGGGUGCGUAGGUGGUGAGGUAAGUCGGAUGUGAAAUCUCCGGGCUCAACCCGGAAAUGGCAUUGGAAACUGCCUUGCUGGAGGAUUUGAGGGGGGAUUGGAAUACUUGGUGUAGCAGUGAAAUGCGUAGAUAUCAAGUGGAACACCAGUGGCGAAGGCGAAUCCCUGGAAAAUACCUGACACUGAGGCACGAAAGCUAGGGGAGCAAACAGG